AUGCAAGAGCUUGGGCUGAAGGAAGAGGACUUGGACGAUGUAGUUCUCGAUGAGGCCGAUAUUCCUGAAGAUGCUGCUAGAUGGGUUGCUAUUGCGCGGGUGAACUCGGUCAAAACCUAUAGUCAGACGUGGUUCUUUCGCAAUAUGCGAUCUGCUUGGGACCUUGCUCAAGAGGUGAAAUUCAGGCCAUUGGAAGAUAAUCUGUACACCAUCCAGUUUUCGUGCCUAGGAGACUGGGAG
rnacentral:rRNA from 1 species